AGCAUACCGUUGGGGUGCCCCGUUCGCCGGGGCUGAGAGGCAAGGCCAACCCAUUGAACCUGAUCCGGGCAGUACCGGCGUAGGGAACGGUGCAGGGCCCAGG
rnacentral:ncRNA from 2 species